CCGAGGUAAUGAUUAAUAGGGACAGAUGGGGAAUUCGUAUUGCGACGUUAGAGGUGAAAUUCUUGGAUCGUCGCAAGACGGACAGAAGCGAAGGCAUUUGCCAAAAAUGUUUUCAUUAAUCAAGAACGAAAGUUAGAGUUUCGAAGGCGAUCAGAUACCGCCCUAGUUCUAACCAUAAACGAUGCCAGCUAGCGAUGCGCCGAAGUUCCUCCGAUGACUCGGCGGGCAGCUUCCGGGAAACCAAAGCUUUUGAGUUCCGGGGGAAGUAUGGUUGCAAAGCUGAAACUUAAAGGAAUUGACGGAAGGGCACCACCAGGAGUGGAGCCUGCGGCUUAAUUUGACUCAACACGGGAAACCUCACCAGGCCCAGACACCGGAAGGAUUGACAGAUUAAUAGCUCUUUCUUGAUUCGGUGGGUGGUGGUGCAUGGCCGUUCUUAGUUGGUGGAGCGAUUUGUCUGGUUAAUUCCGAUAACGAACGAGACUCUAGCCUGCUAAAUAGGCGUACCUUAUGGUUUCUUGAAGGCCCCCGGCCUCGGCCUGCGGGUUUUUACUACCAACGUACAAACAAAUCUUCUUAGAGAGACAGGCGGCUUCUAGCCGCACGAGAUUGAGCAAUAACAGGUCUGUGAUGCCCUUAGAUGUUCUGGGCCGCACGUGCGCUACACUGAAGGAAUCAGCGUGUGUUCCCUGGCCGAAAGGCCCGGGUAACCCGCUGAACCUCCUUCGUGCUAGGGAUUGGGGCUUGCAAUUGUUCCCCAUGAACGAGGAAUUCCCAGUAAGCGCGAGUCAUAAGCUCGCGUUGAUUACGUCCCCAUUGUACACACCGCCCGUCGCUACUACCGAUUGAAUGAUUUAGUGAGGUCUUCGGACUGGUGCGCGGCAAUGCGUCGGCAUUGCCGAUGUUGCCGGGAAGAUGACCAAACUUGAUCAUUUAGAGGAACUAAAAGUCGUAACAAGGUUUCCGUAGGUGAACCUGCGGAAG
rnacentral:rRNA from 1 species